AUUGAACGCUGGCGGCAGGCCUAACACAUGCAAGUCGAACGGUAGCACAGAGAGCUUGCUCUUGGGUGACGAGUGGCGGACGGGUGAGUAAUGUCUGGGAAACUGCCCGAUGGAGGGGGAUAACUACUGGAAACGGUAGCUAAUACCGCAUAACGUCUUCGGACCAAAGUGGGGGACCUUCGGGCCUCACACCAUCGGAUGUGCCCAGAUGGGAUUAGCUAGUAGGUGGGGUAACGGCUCACCUAGGCGACGAUCCCUAGCUGGUCUGAGAGGAUGACCAGCCACACUGGAACUGAGACACGGUCCAGACUCCUACGGGAGGCAGCAGUGGGGAAUAUUGCACAAUGGGCGCAAGCCUGAUGCAGCCAUGCCGCGUGUAUGAAGAAGGCCUUCGGGUUGUAAAGUACUUUCAGUGGGGAGGAAGGCGAUGGAGUUAAUAGCUUCGUCGAUUGACGUUACCCGCAGAAGAAGCACCGGCUAACUCCGUGCCAGCCGCCGCCGUAA
rnacentral:rRNA from 1 species